AUACGGAGGAUCCGAGCGUUAUCCGGAUUUAUUGGGUUAAAAGGGUGCGCAGGCGGCCAUUUAAGUCAGCGGUUAAAUCGUGGGGCUCAACCCCAUUCUGCCGUUGAUACUGGGAGGCUUGAUUGCGGUCGAGGUAGGCGGAAUUCCUUGUGUAGCGGUGAAAUGCAUAGAUAUGACGAAGAACACCGAUUGCGUAGGCAGCUGACCAGACCGCAAAUGACGCUCAUGCACGAAAGUGCGGGGAUCGAACAGGAUUAGAUACCCUGGUAGUCCGCACAGUAAACGAUGAAUACUUGUUUUCGGCGAUAUAAUGUCGGAGGCAAAGCGAAAGCGAUAAGUAUUCCACCUGGGGAGUACGCCGGCAACGGUGAAACUCAAAUGAAUUGACGGGG
rnacentral:rRNA from 1 species